rnacentral:lncRNA from 1 species
CAGGGGUGCUUAACCACUGAACAACAUCCUCAGCCCUUUUAAUUUUUAUUUUGAGACAAGAUCUCACUAAGUUGUUUACGGCUUUGGUAAAUUUUAAGGGUGGCCUCAAACUUGUGAUCCUCCUGCCUUAGCAUCCUGAGUCACUGGGAUUACAGGUGUAGGCAGCCACAUCCGGCUUCAUGUAAGUCUUUAUAGAGUGUUUGGUCAUUGUGACUUUUGAAGUUCUGUUAACAGAAGAAUUUACCCUGCAACAGUGAACCCAUACAUGCUAGUGAACAGGAUAGAGGAUGGGCAAACUAUCUUUUCACUCUUUUCUAUUUCUUGUGCACAAGUAAAUGCUCUCUUGCUAUUUAGCAGAAGUAUCUCUGUUUUCUAUAGUAUCUUCUAGAAUAAGUGAAAGAGUGACUUGGUAGAAAUAAAUGAUUUAUCCAUCUCUUAAUCUUUUCUUAGUCUGUCCUAUAAAAUGUUUAGCACAGAGAAGUUACAGCACUUCUCAGCCUGAGCCCCAGAAAAUUAUUACAUCACUAUGUUUUUAUCAGGAUCUAUCUUGAUAGCAUUUUUAUGACCAUAGGGAUUAAUGAAACCAAAUUAUCUAAUUUAAAAAAAAAAUCUUGUGUUUGUGUGUUUAUACAUAGAUAUAUAACUAAAGUUCUUUUUCAGAACCAAUACUCCUUCAAUUAAAACUUCAAUAAAAGCAUUAGGAAGUGAAAUUGAGUAAUAACAGCUGAGCAACUGGAGGCAGAGUGUGAUUUGUAGCAUAAGGAGCAGAAAGAAAUCAUGCAGACCAAGAACUGAAAGGAAGUAAGUAAUCUAAGAAGAAAAUAAUCUUGGCUGAGAAGUGUCUAUCCCUCAUCUGAAGAAAAAAUUAGUUUUCAGGAAACAUCACCUGUUUCAUCAAGUAGACUAUCUAUAACAAAUCAGCUAUUCCAAUUCACAAACUCCACCUCUAAUAUUUGAAGAGUUAUAACAUAGCCAUUUUAGAAAUAUGCAGCAGCAGGCAUUUGAUAAAAUAGUGUUCAAUAUGAUAAUCAUUUCAAUAUGAUAAUUCUUUUUUCAUUUGAGAUUUGAAUUUUUUUUAAGAACUAGUCAUGAGCAAUUGCAAUAUGUGGUAUGACAUAUAAUUUGGAGAUCUUUAUCAAACAUUUUAAAUUUAUAGGCAUAAUUCUCAUGCUGUACAUAAGAAAAACUUCUCAUAAUUACAAAAAUUUCAGUGUAUGAAAAUCAACUAAUCAGGAUUUAGACUAAUGCUGCAAAACAAAUGAGAAUGAUAACUUUUUCAUGAUAAAUAUAUCUUGAAAUAUUGAAUAAAGUAGCAAAAAUAAGUAACCAUUGUUUGAUUGUCAUCUUUAAUUAAAUGAAGAGUUUACACUGCUUUUUCAUUGUCAAAGAUACAAAGCACUUCUUGUUAUGUAAAAAUCAAAGAAUGCAUUAAUAGUUUUAAACUUGGCAUUAAACUACCUCAUAUGGAUAAGCUGGCUGUUCAAUUAUAGUCACCUUUAGUGGAAAACACUGGCACUGUUCAUUGGAAAAUAUCUAAAAGAUUACUUACAAAUUAUGCAUCAUUAAUUUCUGAUUUUUACAUGCUUUUUAUGUGUAAUCACUGCUGUGUUUAUUGGCCAAAGGUAAAAUAUGUCAUCAUUAUAAAUUAUGUUGUUCAUCUUUUAAUUGCUCACAGCAUUCUCAACUAUAAACUUCCUCUUCAAAUAACAAAAGACAUAAUCUUCCUUCCUCAUAUUUUUUUCUUCAACAAUGAAUAUUUAAUACCUACUAAUUACACAUACAUGCACAUACACACAGAAAAUUGUACUAGGUAUUUAAAGAAAAUGCAGUGCAUGCAAUUUAUGUCAGUAUUUUUAACCACUGGUUUUAUAACACAUUAUAUUGAUACUUAUAGCCAUACACAGAUUAUGGGCACAUCCACAUUACACAGAUCAAAGUUUGCAAAGGCAUGGUUAAAUUAUUUUUUCAUGCAUCAGAACUCGGGACUUUAGUUUUGUAUUGCCCUUCCUAAAGCCUGUUUAUGUUUUGGCUCUGUUAUAUCCACCAAAGUCUCACGUGUUGAAGGCUUCGUUCCAAUAGAGUUCAACAGUAUAGCUUUUGGAAAAUGAUUGAAUUAUAAGGGCUGUUACUUAUCAAUGGAUUAAAUCACUGAGAGAUUCACAACUGAAUGUACUAUUGAGAGGUGAUGGAAGCUGUGAGAGGGGAAACCUAUCUGAGGGUAUGCCCUGGAAGAUUUUAUCUUCUCACUGGCCACAUCCUCUGUUUUUGCUUCCGGGCUGGCGUGAAGUGAACAGCUUUCCUCUGUACUUCUGACAUGAUAUUCUGCCCAAAGCAAUGGAGCUGGCUGACUAUAGACAGAAGGCUAUCAGUCAAUAUAAAUCUUUUCUUCUCCAAGUUGAUUCUCUCAGGUAUUUUAUCACAGCAAUAAAAAAUCUUAGUUACAUACUCUGUUAUUUCCAGCAUCAAUUAAAUGUUCUGAUUUUCAAACUGUUUUAGAAUAUUGAGAAUUGACAUAGUUCUAAUUUUGAAAAUUUAUUAAAUAAUCGUUUAUUCUUGGCCUUAUACAAAAUUACUUGGAGGAAAUUUUUAACAUAAAUAUUUUAUUAAGGGCGAAAAUUGUCACAGACUGUUUUUACCAAAUAAACCAAAGUAUUAAAAAUAAAAAUAAUUUUAGGGAUAUGAUAUUUUAUUACGUUAAGGCACUAAGUAAUUAAGUAAUGUGAUUGCAAUGUCAAACUUUUUCACCUCAAUGACUGUCAUUUAGCAAAUGUCUAAUAUAAGCCCCAUGCACUAGAGAUUGCUUCUCUUCCAAGAAUGCCUAUAAAGAGGCAGAAAUACAGAAUAAGUUUUCUAUUAGUAGAAGACAUCUUUACAUGCAGACAUAAGAUCCAAGUUAGAUUUGUAAUUUACUAGGCUCAGCAUUUAUCCAGUUGCAAUGCCAAUUCAUAUCUUCAAGUUGCGGUAAAUACGUAUCUUUCAUUGUCUAUAAAAUAUGUUCCUUCCUGUGUAUUCUUUAACCGUUUCAAUGGACAUCAUACAUAUUGUCACCAACUGUGUGGGCUCAUAUAGUGUUCAUGUUUUUGCACAUAUCAUUUUUGUCUUUUGAGCAACUAAGGACAGAUUUUUUUUCAUUGCUCAUAGUAUUUAUGUUAACGCUAGGUAUGUUAUAGAUAAUUAGAAAAUUAUUGCUGACUAGUCUGGUUUUCUGAUAAUUCCAUUCUUUAGAAAAGUGGCAGUGAAACUUGUAUUAUUACAAUGUGGGGAGCUUUGAAAGAUUACCACAUCUAAGACAUACCCCAGACCAAAAAACAUAGCGUUUAUGGGUAGGACCCAAAAGUCGAGGUUUUUCAAGCUAAAAAUUUAUGUUACCUAUAUUGAAAAAUUCACAAUAAAAAAUUUCUAAGUCUUUAGAAUUUUGAAGAAAAUAGUGGUUCUACCUAUAAAUUUUAUUUUUAAAUACAUUAUUUGUAGUGUUCUGAAGUCACAAAAAGAGAGCAUCAACAGUGCAAGAGAUUCUAUGACACUCAUUUCAUUCUUGAAACAUUUUUUCUACACGUAUGCAAGCCACUUCAGAGAAAAAGGAGAUUAACAAAUUCUGACAUAUUCUUAUUUGUGGAGUUGACUUCAUUAUGGGUCUUAAAGUAACUUCAAUGUGGCAUUUGAAUUACAUAGAUUUUUGUGUAAGUUAUUCUUCUGCUUCUAUUCUUUGACAGCAUGUGUCUUUUGAAACAGAUUCUUUAGGACCAAAGUUCAUAGGAUAACUACUGUAUCGCUAAAAAUGCCUAAGUGAAUUCCAUGUUUUGUAUACUUCUGGGAGAUCACUAUCAUUUUCACCUUUCCCUCCAGCUUGGAAAUCAGAAUGUAAAUAACAUGUAGUGAUAUUAGUAUUUCUCAAUAAACUGAAGUAAUGAGAUUUUGCAUCUUUAUUAUUUGUUCUUGGACUGGUUCAUUUUGUGUUGUUAUAAUAACAUACUUUAGACUGGUAAGUUAAGAAGAGGCUUAUUUUGGCUUAUGGUUGAAGAGGCUGGCAAGUCCAUCCUAUUGACUCAAGAGAGCUUCAAGGUGAAAAGGGGAAGGGAUGCAAGCUUGUAUGGAAGAGGUCACAUGAAGAGGGAGAUCAUGGAGGUGCCAUGCUCAUUUUGCAGCAGUCUUUUCUUGUGGUAAUCGAUUCAGUCUCAAGACAAUGAGAACUCACUCCCACAAGAAAAGCAAUGGACCCUCAUACAGGCCCCAACACCUCUCACACAGUACAUUGGAGGCCAACCUUCUACAUGAAAUUUGGUAGGAACAAAUUUUGUUGAAACAUAGCUGUUCUAAAAAACUCGAGAGGGAGGGAGAAGAUGGCGGCGAUGGGAGUGCAUUGCCCCCAUGUGCUGCGUCACUGUGUGAGAUUAUGACGAGUCAGGACGGCUAAAGGCUAUCUUGUUAGGAAUUUCCAGCAAUAGUGGGGUGCUCCGGAACCUGGAGGAAGGAUUUCCAUCCCACGAGGAUCGGCUACGGGGACUCAAACGCAAGAGAUUUGUCGCACGGAGGGUAACACUGCUUACUCAGCAAAUCGCCCCGCGGCUAGAGUCUGCAGCGCGCGCUGGGAAACGAGGAGAUAGCGACGCAGGGAUACAGCGCUGUAGUUUCUGCCAGCCGUGCAAGCACCGUACUCAGUGCUGAAUUCUGGGUUCGAGACAGGGGAAGGAAGCGGUCCAUUUCGGUUCUCCGCACCAGUCAGACCACAGAGGAGGCCAGCAGCCACCAUCUUGGAGAGCUGAUGUCACCAUCCCUAUUUUCGACUGACCGCAGCUCAUUCAGCCAUAGAACAGGU